rnacentral:rRNA from 1 species
GCCCUCUGGUUGAUCCUGGCGGCAGGCCUAACACAUGCAAGUCGAGCGGUAACAUUUCUAGCUUGCUAGAAGAUGACGAGCGGCGGACGGGUGAGUACAACUUGGGAAUCUGCCUGAUGGAGGGGGACAACCACUGGAAACGGUGGCUAAUACCGCAUAAUCUUUUCGGAGCAAAGUGUGGGACCUUCGGGCCACACGCCAUCAGAUGAGCCCAAGCAAGAUUAGGUAGUUGGUGGGGUAAAGGCCUACCAAGCCGACGAUCUUUAGCUGGUCUGAGAGGAUGAUCAGCCACACUGGGACUGAGACACGGCCCAGACUCCUACGGGAGGCAGCAGUGGGGAAUAUUGGACAAUGGGGGCAACCCUGAUCCAGCCAUGCCGCGUGUGUGAAGAAGGCCUUCGGGUUGUAAAGCACUUUCAGUGGUGAGGAAGGGUGUGUUGUUAAUAGCAACAUACAUUGACGUUAGCCACAGAAGAAGCACCGGCUAACUCCGUGC